rnacentral:rRNA from 1 species
AGAGUUUGAUCCUGGCUCAGGACGAACGCUGGCGGCGUGCCUAAUACAUGCAAGUCGAGCGGAUCUUGUCCUUCGGGUACAAGGUUAGCGGCGGACGGGUGAGUAACACGUAGGCAACCUGCCCUCAAGACUGGGAUAACCUCCGGAAACGGAUGCUAAUACCGGAUAAGCGGUCUCCUCCCUCCCUGGAGGGAUCGGGAAAGACGGAGCAAUCUGUCGCUUGGGGAUGGGCCUGCGGCGCAUUAGCUAGUUGGUGAGGUAACGGCUCACCAAGGCGACGAUGCGUAGCCGACCUGAGAGGGUGAUCGGCCACACUGGGACUGAGACACGGUCCCAGACUCCUACGGGAGGCAGCAGUAGGGAAUCUUCCGCAAUGGACGCAAGUCUGACGGAGCAACGCCGCGUGAGUGAGGAAGGUCCUUCGGGUCGUAAAGCUCUGUUGCCAGGGAAGAACGGGUGGAAGAGUAACUGCUCCCGCCAUGACGGUACCUGAGAAGAAAGCCCGGCUACAAA